rnacentral:rRNA from 1 species
CGCGGCCUAUCAGCUUGUUGGUGGGGUAGUGGCUUACCAAGGCUUUGACGGGUAGCCGGCCUGAGAGGGUGACCGGCCACAUCGGGACUGAGAUACGGCCCAGACUCCUACGGGAGGCAGCAGUGGGGAAUAUUGCACAAUGGGCGGAAGCCUGAUGCAGCAACGCCGCGUGCGGGAUGACGGCCUUCGGGUUGUAAACCGCUUUCGCCUGUGACGAAGCGUGAGUGACGGUAAUGGGUAAAGAAGCACCGGCUAACUACGUGCCAGCAGCCGCGGUGAUACGUCGGGUGCGAGCGUUGUCCGGAUUUAUUGGGCGUAAAGGGCUCGUAGGUGGUUGAUCGCGUCGGAAGUGUAAUCUUGGGGCUUAACCCUGAGCGUGCUUUCGAUACGGGUUGACUUGAGGAAGGUAGGGGAGAAUGGAAUUCCUGGUGGAGCGGUGGAAUGCGCAGAUAUCAGGAGGAACACCAGUGGCGAAGGCGGUUCUCUGGGCCUUUCCUGACGCUGAGGAGCGAAAGCGUGGGGAGCGAACAGGCUUAGAUACCCUGGUAGUCCACGCUGUAAACGGUGGGUACUAGGUGUGGGGUCCAUUCCACGGGUUCCGUGCCGUAGCUAACGCUUUAAGUACCCCGCCUGGGGAGUACGG